ensembl:lncRNA
GUAUACCACAUUGAAAUACACAGGUGUAUCCAGCCAGUAUACCAUGUUGAAAUACACAGGUGUAGCCAGCUAGUAUACUGUAUACCACGUUGAAAUACACAGGUGUAUCCAGCCAGUAUACUGUAUACUAUGUUGAAAUACACAGGUGUAUCCAGCCAGUAUACCACGUUGAAAUACACAGGUGUAUCCAGCCAGUAUACCACGUUGAAAUACACAGGUGUAUCCAGCCAGUAUACCAUGUUGAAAUACACAGGUGUAUCCAGCCAGUAUACUGUAUACCAUGUUGAAAUACACAGUCGUAUCCAGCCAGUGUACAGUAUACCAUGUUGAAAUACACAGGUGUAGCCAGCCAGUAUACCACGUUGAAAUACACAGGCGUAUCCAGCCAGUAUACUGUAUACCAUGUUGAAAUACACAGGCGUAUCCAGCCAGUAUACUGUAUACCAUGUUGAAAUACACAGGCGUAUCCAGCCAGUAUACUGUAUACCAUGUUGAAAUACACAGGUGUAUCCAGCCAGUAUACUGUAUACCACGUUGAAAUACACAGGUGUAGUACUAUUCUAGGAUUUGUUCAUUACCAAGUUGGAACAUAUUUUUAUUGCAUAUUAUAAUGCUUGUUGUUGUUGUUGUUGUUGUAUAUCCUCUGCCUUGACGAUGGAAGUAUCCGGUUGAUCCGAUUCGAGGUGACGCUGGCGUCAUGAAAUAAAAGCACAUAUAUAUACUUUAUGAAAUAAUGUUUACACUCCUGUUGUUUAUUAAAAAUAAAAUUUAAAAAGGCAUUGUUAAUUCAAAUGUCUGUAUUUCAAUAUACUUAUUUUAUACCGUUUUAUAAGUGACAUAUAUAUAUAUAUAUUGUGUAUGAAAAGCCUUGUAAUUGUUGUAAUCACUUGAUGUGAUUUUUGUGCAUUUGACAUCAGUGUCUCGUUGUAUUUUUUUCAAUAUUAAAAGGACCCAGAGCAGUCAAAAAAAA